UACGUAGGGGGCUAGCGUUGUCCGGAAUCAUUGGGCGUAAAGCGCGUGUAGGCGGUCCGGUAAGUCCGCUGUGAAAGUCGGGGGCUCAACCUCGAGACGCCGGUGGAAACCGUAAAGCUAGAGUCCGGAAGAGGAGAGUGGAAUUCCUGGUGUAGCGGUGAAAUGCGCAGAUAUCAGGAGGAACACCCGUGGCGAAAGCGGCUCUCUGGGACGGUACUGACGCUGAGACGCGAAAGCGUGGGAGCAAACAGG
rnacentral:rRNA from 1 species